rnacentral:rRNA from 1 species
AGAUGUUUGAUCCUGGCUCAGAUUGAACGCUGGCGGCAUGGCCUAACACAUGCAAGUCGAACGGUAGCACAGAGAGCUUGCUCUCGGGUGACGAGUGGCGGACGGGUGAGUAAUGUCUGGGAAACUGCCUGAUGGAGGGGGAUAACUACUGGAAACGGUAGCUAAUACCGCAUAACGUCCCAAGACCAAAGAGGGGGACCUUCGGGCCUCUUGCCAUCAGAUGUGCCCAGAUGGGAUUAGCUGGUAGGCGGGGUAACGGCCCACCUAGGCGACGAUCCCUAGCUGGUCUGAGAGGAUGACCAGCCACACUGGAACUGAGACACGGUCCAGACUCCUACGGGAGGCAGCAGUGGGGAAUAUUGCNCAAUGGGCGCAAGCCUGAUGCAGCCAUGCCGCGUGUGUGAAGAAGGCCUUCGGGUUGUAAAGCACUUUCAGCGGGGAGGAAGGCGGUACGGUUAAUAACCGUGCCGAUUGACGUUACCCGCAGAAGAAGCACCGGCUAACUCCGUGCCAGCAGCCGCGGUAAUACGGAGGGUGCAAGGCGUUAAUCGGAAUUACUGGGCGUUAAAGCGCACGCAGGACGGUCUUGUCAAAGGUCCGGAUGUGAAAUCCCCGGGCUCAACCUUGGGAACUGCAUUCGAAACUGGCAGGCUGGAGUCUACGUUAACAGGGGAGGUAGAAAUUCCCAGGGUGUAGCGGGUUGGAAAUGCCGUUAAAG